rnacentral:rRNA from 1 species
GAUGAACGCUAGCGGCAGGCCUAACACAUGCAAGUCGAGGGGUAUAGGCUUUCGGGCCUAGAGACCGGCGCACGGGUGCGUAACGCGUAUGCAAUCUACCUUGUACAGGGGGAUAGCCCAGAGAAAUUUGGAUUAAUACCCCAUGGUAUUUUAGGGUGGCAUCACCUUAUUAUUAAAGUUCCAACGGUACAAGAUGAGCAUGCGUCCCAUUAGCUAGUUGGUAUGGUAACGGCAUACCAAGGCAAUGAUGGGUAGGGGUCCUGAGAGGGAGAUCCCCCACACUGGUACUGAGACACGGACCAGACUCCUACGGGAGGCAGCAGUGAGGAAUAUUGGUCAAUGGGCGCAAGCCUGAACCAGCCAUGCCGCGUGUAGGAUGACGCAUCUAUGGUGUGUAAACUGCUUUUGUACGGGAAGAAACCACUCUACGUGUAGAGUAUUGACGGUACCGUAAGAAUAAGGAUCGGCUAACUCCGUGCCAGCAGCCGCCGCCG